CAGUAGCCGCGGUAAUACGUAGGUGGCAAGCGUUGUCCGGAAUUAUUGGGCGUAAAGGGCUCGCAGGCGGUUUCUUAAGUCUGAUGUGAAAGCCCCCGGCUCAACCGGGGAGGGUCAUUGGAAACUGGGAAACUUGAGUGCAGAAGAGGAGAGUGGAAUUCCACGUGUAGCGGUGAAAUGCGUAGAGAUGUGGAGGAACACCAGUGGCGAAGGCGACUCUCUGGUCUGUAACUGACGCUGAGGAGCGAAAGCGUGGGGAGCGAACAGGAUUAGAGACCCCCGUAGUCCCUGUCUCUUAUAC
rnacentral:rRNA from 1 species